CCGCCGGGACAUCGCCGGGACACCCCUGGGACACCUCCGGCGGUUCCCCUUCGGGAGUGCUGCGGCUUCGCAGCGGGCCGUGGCUCGGAGAAGCCGGAGCGCUCUCAAGGGACGCUUGAGGCUGCGGUGUUGUUUUGGGAUCUGAGGGUGUCGGUCACUUGUGAGUUUGGCUGGUGCUUUUUGGUACCACACAGGCACGGUGCGCAUCUGCCUCGAGCCUUGCAGGUCCUGCACACCCCUCCCUGACAUCUCUCCCAACACACACUCCCACCCUCCAUCUUGACCCCAGUGAAAACCGUGGCAUUUCCAUCUCAAACUGGGCUGCAUCCGUUCAAAACCAGUGGAGAACUUGUAGAAGGAAAACGUAUGGUGGGUCUGUUUUAGGAAGACAGGCUUCACUUUUGGGAGAGGGGAGAGAAAGGGAAGAAUAGAUGUUUUAAUUUUUCUGCAUUAGAAAGGAAACCUCAACCUUGUUUCAUGUGUGUGUCUACCUGCAGGCAGCUUUUCCAGCCCCCCCGGACUCCUGCCCUCCCACACCGUGGUUGUGGUUGCCAUUUCCUGCUGUCUGUUCAUCUGUUCAGGCCUCGGGCUUUGCUGUUUUCUUACCAAUUGUAGUUUAAAGCCUCACUCCACGGAUUUCCUAGGAUCAAAUUCCGCUUCCCUCACACCUCCCAGGGUGCAGUUUCUGCUAAGCUGGAGCAGUUGAUCAGUCACCAAAACAUUAAGGACCUUCCUUGUAGGACAGUAGAGCAGAGAAGCCAUGACACAGAGCAGGCCCAGAGGGAUUUGCACAGUUCCUUCACAACCACAGCUGUUCAUGGUCUUCCCUCAUCUUUGUCAGAGCCUUGUGGAAUGCUCUGACACAGGGAUGUGAAGUGUCCUGCGUCAGUCCAUUUCCAAACAUUGUGCUCUAGAGUGUUUAUGUGAUGCAGUUUCCUCUGCCACACAGAACCUGAUGGGUGUUUGCCUAGAGCUGGAUAUCCUGCAGCAUGAGGUGAACGAGUGAUGGUUUUUCUCAUACCCUGAGUGGUGGUUUGUGUCUGCCUAUGCUCUGGUGUCAGUGUCAGUCCAGCUGCUGUCACUUCCACCAAGAGGAGCAGCCCCCUACCUGUUGGCAAUAUCCUUUGUGUGAUUGCACAGUGACCUGAUCCAGCUGAGAGCCAGGAAAAAAAAGAAGUGCAGGGGGGCAGGGGGAAGUUAGUUUUCAAUGGGAUCGGUUCCUUGCUCCAAACACUUGCACAAGCGAAACAGAAGACUUGGCCUGGGAACAAGAAGAAACAGCGUGGGUACAGAGGGAACACAGUGUCCACAUCAGCUAAAACUGAUACUGGUAUCAUGUAUGUUGAAAAAUACCCUGAGGGCUCUUGAUAUGAAAGUUGUUGAGACAUAAUCUUCCACACCUAGACACUUCUGAACUUACCUGGUAAGCUAGAAGUAGAGGAGCUGGUAGUGGUGGUAUCAUCACACCUUCACACAGUUUUGGUUUUUUUUUUCUUGAAAUACACCACCUUUUACAGGGAGGGAAGGAGGGAGGAAGGAAGGAAGGAAAGAAGGAAAGAAGGAGAAACAUCACAAACCAAAAUUCACAGGUUUUAAAAUAUGGCCAUUAUGUUCCUGGGUUGUUUUUCUAGUGCUGCACCAUUAAAUGGAGAAGUCUUUUCCACUUCCCUUUCCCCUCUCCUCUUCCUGUGGCAAAAUACAGAUGGACCUUAAACGGUGGGGGGGGGGGGGGGGGGGGAAGGUGCCCUGUUGAUUCUUAUGAAGAUAUUGCUUUUGUUUUUUUUCUUUGUUACUAGAUUAUAGGAUUGAAAACAGAUGUUUCUUUUCUUUAAAACAUGCUGUAUAGCUUGUCUAAACAUAAGGAAAACAGCGUUUCUCCAGACAAUGCUAAGUUCCAUCCAAGGUUGGAGUCAUCUUUAUCAUGAGGCAGUUGCACUGUAGUAGAUACUUGAAUGAAAUGCGCAUCCAGACUCCUCCAACAUCACAGUUCAGAAUUUAGUUGGUUUCUGUUUCCAUUAAAAGCUUGUAAUUUCCAAGAUUCUCUAAAAUUAUUAAAUGAACGAGUAAAAAGGGGAGAUGGGGGACACGUGUUCAUCUGCCUGCCUGUCUUUCCUUCAUGCAAAAUAAAUGCAUGCUCACUUGUUUCAGAAAAAUUGUUUGCUAGAGAUCUAUCUACCAGACAGUGGUUCACAUGUAGGGAAUACCUUUUGCAGAUUAAGAGCUUUUUCUAAUGAGUGAAAGCAGACAGUGGACUUUGCUUUUUAAUCUAGGUAGACUUUGCUGUGAGAUUUUGUCACACUUAUUUGUUAGUUGGGAUCCUCUGUUUUCAGAGGAAGGGUUCUUGUUGGGCACAUGGGAGUACCAGAGUGGACACUGGUUUUGUGAAUAGGAAUGCUGGGGACACAUGGCUAUUGACAGAUUGGAGACACUGAGUCUUGCUUGGCCAAAGUAUCAGUGCACUGGUAGGAAAAAUUCAAGUCCAAAUCAAUGUGCUUAUGUAAACUCAUUUAGCAGUUGUGUUUCUCCACAGGAUAUUCCUGAAAGUUUGCAGGGAAAUAGCUUUGGCUUUUAUUUAGAGCUAAUUUCUGCUAACAAGAAUAACCUUUGUGCUUUUACUUGCUUAUGUGUAAGUCUGGAAAAUCUUGAUUCCUGAGCAAGUAACAUGGAUUAAAGCAAUAACAUUUCUGGCCGAAACAGCUGUCAGUGGCCAGGUGCUACUCCAAUGGUGCUUGAUGACAGUGAUCCUUUUCCCCUCAUCUCAGCAUUUUUGGAUGGCAGUCAUGUGGCCCCAGAGGCCACGCUGUAGAAGCUAAUCCACUGCCCAAGGCAUCUGCUCCUUGGCAGGCUCUGUGGACAUCUGCAUAGGUGGAUCUACUUUCUGUCACAUGGCCAGGUACCUGGGGGCGCAGCGAGGGACCUGCUUUGCUGGGUUUUUUUUUCUUUCCUUUUGGUUUUCUGGAGCUUCCUGAAUAAACCAAGGGCGUUUUCUUCAUAAGGAAUUGGCUGUACAUUGCAUAUGUCCCUCUAUUGUUCAUGUUGGGAGAAACUGCACUGAAACAGGAUCUUUGUUUCUGGCACCCCUGUCUCUCUCCCUGUACUCAGGCUGAAAUCAUAGCCCUCUCUGGGAGUCGUUAACAUUGGUUACUCUAGAAGCAAUUGUGUUUUUGUAUGCAGCUGUUUAUAAUUUCAGGUCUGUGAGGGAACGAGCGAUGAACUUAGAGAAGCAAAGCUACUUGGGAGACUUUGUGCUAUUUGCUGGAAAGAAGUAAGGAAACAUUGGGAAAAUAAAACAGCCGGAAGGCAGGGAGGUAUUGCACGAAGUGGGUAGUUGCAAAAUGAACCUUAUAAGGUUCAUAAGAUGCUUGGUCUCACCAAGUUUAGAGGACUAGAACUAGAAAGGCAUACUAGAUGAUCGCAUUUUACACUAGCUUGAGUCAGGGAGCGGGAUGAAACAGUUUUGUAAGUCUUGUAAUAAGCUAUGAGGUGGUUAAAGCAUUUGCUGUCGUUAUUUUUAGGAAUAAAGAAGUCUUCCCCUGUUGUUGUUCACUAGCAGGAUGGCAGCAUUCACCUUUCCUCCCACUUUCCCAGGCUGAUCUUCUGCCUGAUCUUCCUUCCUGCUCCCAAGGCUCAGCUCCUCUCGUUUUCAUCACAGGUUACACACAGUCCUUCCCACUCCUUUCAGUGAGGUGACAGAUGGCACAUGGCAUUGGAGUUGUGUGCCUAAUGAUUUUUACCUGCUGCUUUUUGCAUCCUAGGAAGUAUUCCUCCAGGCUUUCCAGCAUUGCUGUUGUAGUGUGGGACCCUCACAGGCUGCAGUCACUCAGGGGUGUCUCUGGCUCAGUGAAUGUUGCCUUCUUGAAGAGAGCGUCUUCAGCCCUCAGCAUUUUCUCCAUGUUCUCCUAAUACUCAUCUUCACAUAUCUUCUCACAAGUCUUUUCCAUGUUUUUCCUGCAUCUUUUUAUCUGUAUACAGUUCUGUGUCACUUCUCUCCUAAUGGCUGCAAUUCAUGCUUAAAUAUGAGUGGAGGUGCCACAUGCUCCUUUGGUUGGAGUUUUGACUCACUGUGGGCUGGUCCCAUCUGUUUCAAAGCCACAGGAUGUGGCUGUGAGUGGCUCAAGGCACAGUGGCUCAAGCCCUCUCUGUGGGCUCUACGCACAGAGGCAACCCCCACAGCUCCUGACACUGAAACCCUGCCAGUUUUGCCCAAUUUACCUCCUUUUUGUCUCUGCCUAUCUCUCGCAGUGUGUUACUGGAUUCUAUCUCUAGGUUAUCUCAGGAUUUACUUCCAAGCAACAUUACUUUUGAAGUAUUGAUGGUUGUCUUGCAUGGGCUACAUACUGGAAAAAUGUAGACUUUUUUUCCCCCCCUUAAACCUUUGUUCCUGGAAUCACAUGAUUAAACUAUCACUUUAUUUUUAACGUGAACUCAUAGCUCUUGUGCUUAAAGAGGAAAUCUUCAAAAUGUAGAUUGUAGAAGGCAAAUAUAAAAAGAAAUAUUAUGGGAAUUAUUUUUGUGUCUUAGCUUUUGGAGCCAGUUCAUAAUGUGUAAGCCCUAAGGGUUUGAAAUACCAGAGAAGAAGUUGCUUCUCUGUUGUCUCCAUAUCUGCAAAACUGUAAUGAUCUCUGUAACUCUAUCAUGUUGGACAGAUUCACAGAAUGGGUAAGGUUGGCAUCCCUGCUUCAGCAGCAUCAUCCUAGAGUAUAUGGCACAGGAUUGUGUCCAGACAGUUGUGGAGUAUCUCCAGUGUGGGAGACUUCACAUCCUCUCUGGGCAGUCUUUUUCAGUGAUCGGUCGCUGCACAGUAAAGAGAUUCUUCUUCAUGUUCAGGUGGAACUUCCUGUGUAUCAGUUUCUGCCUGUUGCCUCUUGUCCUAUUGCUUGGCAUCACCGAGAAGAGCCUGGUCCAUCUCCUGACACCUCCCUUCAGGUACUGAUAGACCUUGAUGAGGUUCCCUCUCAGUCAUCUCUUCUCAAGGUUGAACAGGCCUAACUCUCUCAGCCUGUUCUCAUAAGAAACAUGCACCAGUCGCUACCAAGUAUGGUAGUUUAAUUUCAGCACAUUUUUGUCUGCUUAGGUCACAGCCUACAGUGCUCUACGAAUUACUAGUUGAAUAGAUACAUGCACAGUGAUAAGAAUAGACUAGCUGCAAAGCAUAGUCUGCAGCAAUGAAGAAGAAUCUGGAUUUAAAAGAAAAAAUGCCACUAAUGUUACUCUUUAUAGAGAGUAUUGUGGAAAAUUAAAUUUUUCAGAAUCUCUGAAAAUGUAAACUCUUAAUUUUGAGUCUUUUCUGCAAGACAUUUUUCUUAAGAAAUAGCUAGUUCUGUGUUUUCCCCCAUAACACUAUCUUCACCUUCCUUUGGCAAGUUCAAAAAAUGCUUCAUGUACUGUCAAGCAUAACUCAGCUGCUCACUCAUUUCAGCUCCUUAGUUUAAUAACCUCAAUACAGCCAAACCUGUCAUCUUCUAAUGCUAAAGUCAGAAACUAUUGACCAAGAAACUGAUUUCCAUUCCAGGGAUGACCACAACUACACUUCAGACUUCCUGCAGACCCAUGGAAAUGAAUCUUUUAAGUCUAUGGUUUGCCCUCGAGAUUUUUGUCACAUGUUGAAGCCUUGACCAUCCAAAGAGUAUAAACCUGUAUAAAACUGUAUUUUACACACAGUGCAUAAAGUAGAAGGCACACAUCAGGCUGCUUUCAACUACUACUUUUUGCUGGACAGAAAACCACCACAGCUCAGCUUGGGGCCUUGCAGGGGAACAUCAACACAAGGGUUCCUUGGCUUCAGCCUCUGUAUGCCUUUGGAUGGGAACACCACCCCUUCCUGCAGGUGUGAUGGGAUAUUUGGAAAGACAGAUGUGAAGGCAUGGAGAAGUGUGGCUGGAUCAGAAUUCAGCAAAGCUGCUGAAAGACCACUUGGAACAGUUGCAGUGCCUUGACCCAGUGAGAUAGAUCUGUGUAGUUCAUUUGGAUGUGUGGAGAGGGAAGUCAAGCUUGAAACUUAAACCUGGAGCUGUGUGCUGCAUGCAAUGAAAGACACAUCAAUGCUGCACUGGGAAAGGCUGUGAACCCUUAUAAACAGGAAAGUGAUAUGAAGCAAUUCAAGGGAGAUUAAAGAAUGGCUGGAAAACAACAAUACAAGUUCCAACUUGCAAACUGGAGAAAACAACUUGAUACUCAAAUAUGCAGCAGGAAUGAAUUGUGUGGAGGAGAUCUGGAAAAGACAGCAGCAAGCUGAUUGGAAGUGAUAUUUCUCAAGCUGCAAAAGUGGGCAAUGCGUGGGAAGGCACCCCUAUGAGAAGGCAGAGCAUGUGGAAGAUUGCCCUGAGUCCUGUGUAUUGCACUUCUAGGCAGUCAGAGGCAUGCUGGAUGGGAUUUGAGAACAUCAAUCAAAAAAAUAAAGGGGGGAGGUUGUAUGUGAAUAUGCUAUCCCCAAAUUUUUCUCCAUGAAGUAUUCAGAAGAUGACAAAGAGGGAAUAGCCAGUGUUAGAAAAAAGUGAAUGCUAACCAGAUUUACUUAAGGCUGUAUGCAGGGGAAUAAUCAGGAGUAAUGGGAGUGCUCCUAUAAAAGGAACAUUUAACUGAAUAUCAAGAAUCUCCUCGAUGGAGAGAUGUGCAAUGCCUUGCAAGGAAAUGGUGGAAACUUCAUCCCUUGAGGACAUCUAACACUUGACCACACAAGACACCAGGGAGUUUAUUAGAGGAAAAGACUGCAUUGGGUAGGUGGGGGAAGUAUGAUACAAAAGAUCAUCUUAAGUUUAUCUGAAUGUAUGAUAUGAAUGGGAAAAUGUGCACCAGGAUGUUUGUGAUUUCCACAUUCAACAGUCUUAAGCUUUCUUUCCUUUCCUGUGAUAAGAAACCAAUUUAUUCCCAGGUUCCUCUUUUUUCCAUACUACCAACUUUACCUUUCCUAAUUUGUGCUGUGAAGCAAUAACCUUAGAGCACAGAGGAACGGGAGGGUUUUUCUCAGAAUAAACAAUAGUUUUGUUGAAAAAUCUCAUUUUCUGGCUGGAUAAUGCCAAAACAUGGGGCAGAAGGUCAUGUUGAACUUUCUGGGUUGUCAUCUCAGUGCUCCUUCCGCACUGGGAAGAAGCUCAGUGUUCUUCAUGGAGGCAUGUGGCUUUUAGAAGUUCUCAUGUGGAUUAUAUAAGCCACUUGCAUUUGCCAUCAAAAUUGGCUGCCAGAAUGUGAAUUGCCCUGUUUAUUUCAUUGGAAUGCUUAAAAGCACUGCUAUCCAUACAAAAGACAAAACCAAAGUUAUACACACAACAAAAAAAGUUUACAGACACAAUAUUUUGAAAAGCAGGCACCUCCCGUGUGUGUGAGCGCUUCUCUGUCCUGCCAGGCGCUUGCUACUGUGGGUGUACAGCAAGCAUUGCAUUCCUGUGGGUUUCAAAGGCUUUUAUUGUUGCCUAGAUAUUUGGAGAUCAGGUGGUCAAGCUGUAGCUUCAGAGCAAUAGGAGCUAACCAGGGAGAGGGGAAAAAGAGAUAAAAAUGCGCAUCUGGAUGUGCCUGUCUGUCAAGCAGCUCCUUGAGAGAUGUCCCAUCACUGCAGCCCUUGUUUAACCCUAUGCUGAUUAGCCUUGACAGUCUCUCUUGACAACUUGCCCUCUCUAAUAUCUAAACCUGUUCUUGGAAGAUAAGGGCUUUGUGUACUGGUUAUAAACAGCAAGGCUGGAGUGGAAAUUCAUAGGGCUGAAAGUCAGAGAGCAACUUUGCAGCUACACUGAGAAAACCUCAGAAAGGGCGAGGGCUCCUUCCCUCUGCACGUUCAAAGCACUGUCUCCUUCAGUCUCUCACAGGGCAUUUGUUUGUGCUUUGCGUUGUGCCCCCACCUCCACAGGUCCUCGUGUUGAAAGGUUUUUCUUGUUUUAUUCUGGAGUCACUCUGGUUGCAUUGUCCUCUCCCAAGCACUUUAUUCUUUCGACAAAGUAGGGUGCUUGUACACCAUUGCUGAGGUGGAGGGAAAAUAGCAGGAU